UUAAGCAUAUAAGUGAGUGGAGGAUGAGAAACUAAACAGGAUUCCUUUAGUAAUGGCGAAUGAAGAAGGAGUAGCUCAACAUGAAAAUCUGGGCAUCUGGCCUUGAAUUGUAGUUUGAAGAUGCAUUUGCCAAUGGACAUGAUAAUGAAAGCCUUUUGGGAAAAAGCAUCAACGAGGGUGAGAAUCCUUCUUGACAUUUCAAUUGUCCAUGUACGGUGUGCAUUGAAGAUUCACGUUCCUUGGGAUUUGAACGCAAACUUGUUGGUAAAUUUCAUUUAAAGCUAAAUAUUGGUUUGAGACCGAUAGAAAACAAGUACCAUGAGGGAAAAGUGAAAAGGACUUUGAAAAGAAAGUUAAAAGUGCUUGAAAUUGCUGAAGAGGAAGCGGGUGUAUUUCGCACGCAAUUCUCAAGAUUGUUGCGCAUAUCUCUGAUACCUUGUUGUCUUGAUUUAAUUGCAGCAAUAAGUUAUAUUUGUGAAUGCGCAAUGUUGCUUGUGUUUUGUGCCUUCAUCGAUUCACAGCCAUAGAAACAAUCUAAACAUGAAUCUUUGCUCUUGUGCAAAAGAACAUUUAGGUUCAGAUUUAGCUUGUGGAUCGCUCUUAAUAUUGUUGAUUGCUUAAUCGUCCUUGCGCCUUGCGUGCGGGAUGAUUUCACGACAUGAAAAUGAUGGCCAAAGAAAUACAUUCGACCCGUCUUGAAA
rnacentral:rRNA from 1 species